GUUUUUUUAAAAUCACAUACUUAGACAAAACUAUAUUCAUUGGCUUAAAUUUAAUUAGAUAUAUCCGAAUCGUCAACAUUUGCAAGUGUGUAGUUUUAUAAGCCAAGCAUUAUUAAUUUAAAUACUACUAUCGUAAAAAGUUAAUCGUUUACACCUCUGAAAGAGUAAAAUAAAAACUUCGGAAAUUCCUGAACGAACACAACACCGACAGCCGCUGUCGCUUGAUAGACGAAUACUUUCGAAACAGCAGACACCGAUGGCGGUAUUGGCAUGCAGAUGCGUAACCUGAAGUUCGGCGGCGACAACAGUGGUCGAGCAUGUCAGCAGGGCAACGGUAUAAGUUGAGGCACACUUAAUUACAUAUAGAGUUCGACGAAAGUUGGACGGCAGAGUCAGGAGGUAUGCGAUAAGUACAAAAUCUAAGACCUCGGCGUUAAAUGUACAUUCCUGGCUUCAUUCGUAAGCUUGUGGAACAAUGAAGUGUCUAGCAUUUACACACCUAAUCACAAUCAAAUACGGCAAAAGGACUUGCACACACAAAAGGGUACACAGGUAGAAAAAGGUGACACGGUGAGCACGGCAACCAAGUACAGGAACAAUUAUUGGCUGAUUUAAGAGUAGCGACACGUUAUUAAGCUUGGUGCUUUGUGAAUUCACCAAAAACCUGUAGAAAUUCGUACAGAUGUUUGUAUGUAGCCCGAAAGAAAUAUAUAUUUACAAAAGGAAAGCUUCCCAGUCCGCAGCGAUAACAUGCGAAAAAAAAUAAAUGAGAGUAAAGAGUAACUUCAAAAAGAAGGUGAAGCGAAAGCAUAGGAGCCGUGGAAAAUGAUUGUAGAAAAAAUGAAAACGAGGUGAAAUGCAAAUCGCCAAACAGCACGAGGCUGCUGUGCCGCGUGCGACCAGGCCACCGCGCGAGAGCCAAUUCUUUGCAUACGCCAAAUAUUUACAUCGAAGAUCUAUGCGACUUAAAUUAGUUCAGACAAUAAAACGAAUGACAAAUUUGCACACAAACAGCUAAAGGAAAAUUGCAUAAAUAAAUUCCGAGUACUUGUAAAUGGCAAACAAAAAAAUUAUGGUGGAAACAGUUAUGAGCACAACGAAUAAAUGGAAUUGACAAAGUGCCAUGAGGCGAGAAAUGAAAAAUACGCUUUUCUCAGACUUACACUUGAAAGCAAUUUGAAAGUAUAUAGUGCGCAUACCCCGCAAAGGAUUAUUUAAAUAAAGUUUUUUUGUAUUUGUAUGGCAUUGGUUGGAUACCCAUUUUAAUAUAGUUUUUAUAUAGUAUUGACAUAUAGAAUAAAAUAUAUGUUAUC